GGGAAAUUUGUUAAGAAGCAAAGUGUUAAAUAUUCCUUGCUUUUUAACAAGUUUCACUA
rnacentral:pre_miRNA from 1 species